UACUUAGGAAUCUACCUAGUAGUGGGGGAUAGCACGGGGAAACUCGUAUUAAUACCGCAUACGACCUACGGGAGAAAGGGGGCAGUUUACUGCUCUCGCUAUUAGAUGAGCCUAGGUCGGAUUAGUUAGUUGGUGAGGUAAUGGCUCACCAAGACAGCGAUCCGUAACUGGUCUGAGAGGAUGAUCAGUCACACUGGAACUGAGACACGGCCCAGACUCCUACGGGAGGCAGCAGUGGGGAAUAUUGGACAAUGGGGGCAACCCUGAUCCAGCCAUGCCGCGUGUGUGAAGAAGGUCUUCGGAUUGUAAAGCACUUUAAGUUGGGAGGAAGGGCAGUUAACUAAUAUUUGACUGUUUUGACGUUACCGACAGAAUAAGCACCGGCUAACUUCGUGCCAGCAGCCGCGGUAAUACGAAGGGUGCAAGCGUUAAUCGGAAUUACUGGGCGUAAAGCGCGCGUAGGUGGUUCGUUAAGUUAGGAGUGAAAGCCCCGGGCUCAACCUGGGAAUUGCUUCUAAAACUGGCGGACUAGAGUAUGGUAGAGGGUGGUGGAAUUUCCUGUGUAGCGGUGAAAUGCGUAGAUAUAGGAAGGAA
rnacentral:rRNA from 1 species